ensembl:lncRNA
ACUUUUGAUCAAUUUAAUGCAUCCUUGGCAGAAAAAACAGAGGUACUGAGUGAAGACCUGCUGCAGGUGGAGAAGCGUUUAGAUCUGGUAAAGCAGGUCUCUCAUAGCACACAUAAGAAGCUGACCGCCUGUCUGCAGGGACAACAAGGCGCCGAUUUAGACAAGAGAUCAAAAAAGUUGCCCCUGACGAUACUUGCUCAGUGUAUGGUGGAGGGAGCGGCUGUGUUAGGAGACGACUCUCUUCUUGGUAAGAUGCUGAAGCUCUGUGGUGAGACAGAGGAGAAGUUGGCCCAAGAGCUGCUCGUCUUUGAGCUUCAGAUUGAAAGAGAUGUUGUGGAGCCUCUGUAUGUGCUGGCUGAGGUGAUGAGCAUUAACAGCAAACUUGUCUUGGACAUGGAUUCUGCGAGGACACGGUGGCAACAGUCAUACAAAUCGUCAGGUCACCCCAGUAAUGUGCAGCAGGGCGGAGCUAAGGCGGAUUCCUUGAGAGAGGAAAUGGAAGAGACGGCCAAUCGGAUGGAGAUCUGCAGGGACCAGUUAUCAGCGGAUAUGUACAACUUUGUGGCCAAAGAAAUAGACUAUGCAAACUACUUUCAAACGCUCAUAGAAGUUCAGGCGGAGUAUCACAGGAAGUCUUUGGAGAUUCUGCAGAGUGUGCUGCCACAGAUCAAAGCUCACCAGGAGGCCUGGAUAGAGAAGCCAUCGUAUGGAAAGGCCCUAGAGGAACAUCUAGCCAUCAGUGGCAGGGAGAUUGCGUUUCCUAUCGAGGCGUGUGUCACCAUGCUGCUCGAAUGUGGCAUGGAGGAAGAGGGUUUAUUUCGGGUGGCCCCCUCAGCCUCCAAGCUGAAGAAACUGAAGGCAUCACUGGACUGCGGGGUCCUGGAUGUGCAGGAGUACUCGGCCGACCCACAUGCCAUCGCAGGAGCCUUGAAGUCUUAUCUUCGUGAACUUCCUGAACCUCUAAUGACCUUUGAACUCUAUGAUGAAUGGAUUCAAGCUUCAAAUAUUCAAGAUAUGGAUAAAAGACUCCAAGCCCUUUUGUGUACAUGUGAGAAACUACCAGCAGACAGUCUAAACAAUCUCAGAUAUUUAAUAAAAUUCUUAGCCAAACUCACGGAGCAUCAAGACGCUAAUAAAAUGACGCCAGGUAAUAUUGCAAUAGUUCUUGGACCCAACCUGCUGUGGACACAUUCAGAAGGGAACAUGACGGAAAUGAUGACCACCAUGUCCCUGCAAAUCGUCGGCAUCAUUGAGCCGAUCAUCCAGCACGCUGACUGGUUCUUCCCUGGAGAUAUUGAGUUCAAUCUGACAGGCAGCUACGGCAGCCCGGUCCACACCAACCACAACUCAAACUACAGCUCUAUGCCCUCACCCGAUAUGGACCAAUCAGAGCGCAAGCAGCAGCAUGACCAGAGCCGACGCCCACUCAGUGUUGCUACUGACAACAUGAUGCUGGAAUUCUACAAGAAGGAUGGUGUGGGUGUCAGAGUCAUGGACACAUCGUGGGUGAAGGGCAAAAGUUCCUCUACACUGGCCCGCAAAGCCUCAUCCACGCCUCCCAGCGCACAACCACCCGGCUCUCCUGCGGACACGCUGAUCACUGAGCAGCCCGGUGACUCCCCGCCCCUGCGCUGGACAGGCUUCGGCCCACCACUUCCCCUACCCCAACCACCCCCGUCUUCUUCCUCCUCCCCCUCACUCGAUAUCAACCCCAACCCCAAGCCUAGCUGCCUGUUACUUGAAUGCAUAUUUGAUUUUGUCUUAUCUCUCUCUCUCCUUACAGCCUCUAAGAAACUGGCCCCUGUGCCGCCCAAGGUUCCAUACGGCCAGUCGGGGGGGAUGUCAGACCAAUCCACAGGUCAGCCGUCUCCGGUCAGCCUGUCCCCCACUCCCCCAAGUACCCCCUCCCCAUACGGUUUGGGCUGUCCCCCUGGACACGCGCCCACCUCUUCCCCUGGCCAGACCCCAUUAGGGGGAUCCCAUACGUUGUCCUCACUGCCCUCUCUGACUGGUACGCUCACAAAGUCCCGACCCACCCCAAAGCCCAGACAGAGACCCAGUCUACCCCCUCCCCAGCCACCCACCGUCCCCCCUACGGCCCCCCAGCCCCUGGAGCAGGGUCUACUUGACGGAUUGUCCCCCGGGGAGAGCAUGUCCACAGGUAAACAUGCCUCAGUGGCAACAUCCCAAGUGGGAGGCCAGCGUCCCUCUCUCAAACUGUCUGUCUCUCCGUCCUACGCAGGCGAUGGACUUUAA